rnacentral:tRNA from 1 species
GGUAUCAUAGCUCAAGCGGUAGAGCGCAUGCCUAGCAUGCAUGAGGUUCUGGGCUCAAGCCCCAGUACCU